CUACGUGCCAGCAGCCGCGGUAAUACGUAGGUCCCGAGCGUUAUCCGGAUUUAUUGGGCGUAAAGCGAGCGCAGGCGGUUAGAUAAGUCUGAAGUUAAAGGCUGUGGCUUAACCAUAGUACGCUUUGGAAACUGUUUAACUUGAGUGCAGAAGGGGAGAGUGGAAUUCCAUGUGUAGCGGUGAAAUGCGUAGAUAUAUGGAGGAACACCGGUGGCGAAAGCGGCUCUCUGGUCUGUAACUGACGCUGAGGCUCGAAAGCGUGGGGAGCAAACAUGAUUAGAUACCCUGGUAGUCCACGCCGUAAACGAUGAGUGCUAGGUGUUGGGUCCUUUCCGGGACUCAGUGCCGCAGCUAACGCAUUAAGCACUCCGCCUGGGGAGUACGACCGCAAGGUUGAAACUCAAAGGAAUUGACGGGGGCCCGCACAAGCGGUGGAGCAUGUGGUUUAAUUCGAAGCAACGCGAAGAACCUUACCAGGUCUUGACAUCCCUCUGACCGCUCUAGAGAUAGAGCUUUC
rnacentral:rRNA from 1 species